rnacentral:rRNA from 1 species
AGAAUCAACGCUGGCGGCGUGCCUAACACAUGCAAGUCGCACGAGAAAGUGGAGCAAUCCAUGAGUAAAGUGGCGCACGGGUGAGUAACACGUGAAUCAUCUACCUCCGAGUGGGGAAUAACUGAGAGAAAUCUUGGCUAAUACCGCAUGAUACCCACGGGUCAAAGCAGCAAUGCGCUUGGAGAGGAGUUCGCGGCAGAUUAGCUAGUUGGCGGGGUAAUGGCCCACCAAGGCGAUGAUCUGUAUCCGGCCUGAGAGGGCGCACGGACACACUGGAACUGAAACACGGUCCAGACUCCUACGGGAGGCAGCAGUGGGGAAUUUUGCGCAAUGGGGGAAACCCUGACGCAGCAACGCCGCGUGGAGGAUGAAGCCCCUUGGGACGUAAACUCCUUUCGACCGGGACGAUAAUGACGGUACCGGUGGAAGAAGCCCCGGCUAACUUCGUGCCAGCAGCCGCGGUAAUACGAGGGGGGCAAGCGUUGUUCGGAAUUAUUGGGCGUAAAGGGCGCGUAGGCGGUGCGGUAAGUCACCUGUGAAAUCUCCGGGCUUAACUCGGAGUCUGCAGGCGAAACUGCCGUGCUGGAGUAUGGGAGAGGUGCGUGGAAUUCCCGGUGUAGCGGUGAAAUGCGUAGAUAUCGGGAGGAACACCUGUGGCGAAAGCGGCGCACUGGACCAUAACUGACGCUGAGGCGCGAAAGCUAGGGGAGCAAACAGGAUUAGAUACCCUGGUAGUCCUAGCCCUAAACGAUGGAUGCUUGGUGUGGCCGGUACCCAAUCCGGCUGUGCCGAAGCUAACGCGAUAAGCACCCGCCUGGGGAGUACGGUCGCAAGGCUGAA